AUUGAACGCUGGCGGCAGGCCUAACACAUGCAAGUCGAGCGUGCGGCGGACGGGUGUGUAGUGUCUGAGACUUGCCAUGUAGGGGGGUAUCACCGUUGGAAAGGACCGCUAAUCCCGCAUACUCGUGGAUUGCCCAGGUGGGAUUAGCUAGUUGGUGGGGUAAUGGCACACCAAGGCGACGACCCCUAGCUGGUCUGAGAGGAUGAUCAGCCACACUGGAACUGAGACACGGUCCAGACUCCUACGGGAGGCAGCAGUGGGGAAUAUUGCACAAUGGGGGAAACCCUGAUGCAGCCAUGCCGCGUGUGUGAAGAAGGCCUUCGGGUUGUAAAGCACUUUCAGCGAGGAGGCGUUACUCGCAGAAGAAGCACCGGCUAACUCCGUGCCAGCAGCCGCGGUAAUUC
rnacentral:rRNA from 1 species